AAAGUGCUGGGAUUACAGGCUUGAGCCACCGCGCCCGGCCUGAUUUUUUUCUUAACCUAUUGACCUGUGGAUUACAUUAAUUGAUUUCCAAAUGUUAUACCUGCCUUGCAUACCUAGGAUAAAUCCCCUUGGCUAUGGUGUGUAAUUAUUUUUAUAUGUUGUUAGAUGUGAUUUGCUAAUAUUUUUUGGGAAUUUUAUAUCUGUGUCAUCAGAGUUAUUGGUCUGUAGCUUUCUCGUAAUGACUGUCUUAUUUUGGUAUUAGGUUAAUGCUGGCCUCAAAGAAUGAGUUAGAAGGUAUUCCUCUGCUUCUAUAUUCUGAAAUAAAUUAUAGACAAUUACUAAGAUUUCUUUUUUAAGUCUUUGGUAGAAAUCACAGAAACCCCCAUGUCUAUAACCAACUGAUUUUUGACAAGGUUCCAAGAACAUAUAUUGGGGAAAGGACAGUCUUUUCAGUAAAUGGUGUUGGGAAAACUAGAUAUCCACAUGCAAAAGAAUGAAACUAGACCCCCAUAUCCCACCCUUUACAAAAAUCAAUGCAAAAUGGAUCUAAGACCUAAAUAUAAAAGACAAAACUACUAGAGGAAAACAUAGGGGAAACAUCAGGACACAGGUCUGGGAAAAGAUUUUUUGAAUAAGACUUCAAAGAAAUGCUGUAAUGGUAAGAGUUUAGAGCAUUCCUGAGGACCUGGAGAAAACCCGUUGCUGAGAAGGACAUUUUGAAGGAUUCGUUGGUUGAAAAAUGUGUCUGGAAUCACACUCCUAAAUCUUUCUUGAAGACUUGAAAAGAAUUAGAUUAGGGCCAUGGGGACACAGAGGUUACCCCAGCUCUGAUCUUUGCCAACACAGUUGCUACAAUUGGCUCUUUCCAAUUUGGCUACAAUGCUGGGGUCAUCAAUGCUCCUGAGAUGAUCAUAAAGGAAUUUAUCAAUAGCACUUUGAGGGACAAGGAAAAUACCCCUCCCUCUGAGAUGUUGCUCAUGUCUCUCUGGUCCUUGUCUGUGGCCAUCUCCAUUGGUGGUAUGAUUGGCUCCUUUUACGUCGGAUUCUUUGUCAUCCGCUUUGGCAGAUGCAAUUCAAUGCUGAUCGUUAACCUGUUGGCUGUCACUGGUGGCUGCCUUAUGGGAUUGUGUCAAGUAGCUGAGUUGCUUGAAAUGCUGAUCCUGGGCCACUUAGUUAUUGACCACUUCUGCAGACUAUGCUCAGGUUUUGUGCCCAUGUACAUGGGAGAGAUCUCUCCUACUGCCCUGCAGGGUGCCUUUGGUACUCUAAACCAGCUGGGCAUUGUUGUCAGAAUUCUGGUGGCCCAGGUCUUUGGUCUGGAAUUCAUCCUUGGGUCUGAAGGGCUGUGGUCAGUGCUAUUGGGCUUUACCAUCCUUACUGCUAUCCUACAAAGUGCAGCCCUUCCAUUUUGCCCUGAAAGUCCCAGAUUUUUGCUCAUUAACAGAAAAGAAGCGGAAAAUGCUUAGUAGAUCCUCCAGUGGUUGUGGGACACCCAGGAUGUAUCCCAAGACAUCCAGGAGAUGAACGAUGAGAAUGCAAGAAUGUCACAAGAAAAGCAAGUCACCGUGCUGGAACUCUUUAGAGUAUCCAGCUGCUGACAGCCCAUCAUCAUUUCCAUUGUGCUCCAGCUCUCUCAGCAGCUCUCUGGAAUCAAUGCUGUGUUCUGUUACUAAACAGGAAUCUUCAAGGAUGCAGGUGUUCAAGAACCCAUCUAUGCCACCUUUGGCGCAGGUGUGGCUAAUACUGUCUUCACUGUAGUUUUCCUGUUUCUGGUGGAAAGGGCAGGAAGAAGGACUCUGUGUGUCAUAGACCUUGGAGGGAUGGCUUUUUGUCCCAUACACACGACUGUUUUUUGUUAUUAAAGAAUGACUGUAAUGGGAUGAGCUUUGUCUCUAUUAGGGCUAUCUUGGUCUUUAUUCCCUGGUUUAUUGUGGUUGAACUUUUCAGUCGGGGCCCCUGCCCAGCUGUGAUGGCAGUUGUCGGCUGCUGCAAGUGGACCUCCAACUUCCUUGUUGGAUUGCUCCUUCCCUCUGCUGCUUGCUAUUUAGGAGCCUAAGUUUUUAUUAUCUUCACUGGCUUCCUCAUUACCUUUUUGACCUUUACCUUCUUCAAAGUCCCUGAGACCAUGGCAGGACUUUUGAGGAUAUCAUGCAGGCCAUUGAAGGGCAGGCACAUGGUGCAGAUAGAUCCAGGAAGGAUGGCAUCGUGGAGAUAAACAGCCUCCAGCCUGCUAAGGAGACCACCACCAAUGUCUCACUCAUGCCUCCUUCCACCUCCCUCGCAUCAUGGGAAAGCCACCUGUCUCUGAAUGACAGAGUAACCUCAUCAGGAUGAGCCCAGGACUGCUUCUGAAUGCUGAUUCUUGAUUCAUUUCUUACCCCAUGCACUCCUUGAGCACCCCAAGGCUGGGGUUUGUUGGAUUUUCAAUGGCUUUUAAAAUAUUUUAUUUCCUGGACAUUCUCUUCUGCUUAGGAGAGACCAAGUGAACCUACCUUCAUUUCAGGAGGGAUUGGCCUCUUGGCAUAUGACAACUUUGCCAGCUUUUACUCCCUUGGGUUCUAAUAUUUCUGCACUAGGGGAUAUAGCAGAGGAAAAGUAAGGUGCAGUUCCCCCAACCUCAGACUUAUCAGGAAGCAGAUACACACAUGAAUGUGGAAGGCAGAGGGAGUUUAUGUAAGAGCACCUUCCUCACUUCCAUACAGCUCCACACAGCAAAUAACUUGAGUUUUAUUUAUAUCUUAUGGUUUAAUCACAUAUAUAUUUUUUUUGAGUUCUGGCAUACAUGUGCAGAAUGUCCACAUGUGUUACAUAGGUAUACAUGUGCCAUGGUGGAAAUUUUUAUUUUUUUAAGUGUAAUUUUGCCAGAUAAAAAAACAGAAGGAAAUUGAGAUUAGAAGGAGGUGCUUAAAGAGAGGCUAAAGAGUAAAAGAUUGGAUGCUGGAGAGGUUAAAGUGCAAUAAGAAGCAUUUAGGGAGAGAUGUAGUUCAUUAUUGGAGGGUAAAUGAUGUGGUGCCUGAGGUCUGCACGUUACCUCUGAACAAUUUCUGUCCUUCAGAUGGAAACUCAUAAGUUUAAUUUCUCAUAAAAGCCAUAUGCCUAUAUAAUAAAGCUACUGAUUUCCUUUGGAACUUUUUUCUUCAAGAUAAUAGUUUACAUGUAGUACUUGAAAUCUAGGAUUAUUAACUAAUAUGGGUAUUGUAGUUAAUGGUGAUUGAUAGUUUCUAAUUUUGGAUGGAGUUGAGGGAAGAGAAAGUUAUUUCUAGAAAGCCUGUUCCCCUCACCGGACCAAACAACUCUUCCUUGUAAUAGACUCAUUACCUUUGAAGUAAUCCCACCACCUAUCUGGUGGGAGAGCCAUCCAAAUGAAAAACCUAAAAUAAUUGGUUCUUGGUAGAAAUUCAUUAUUUCUCCUUUUUGUUCUUUAGGAGAUUUUAGUUGUUGAUUUGCUGUUUUAACUCAUACCUUUCAAGGAAUUCCCCAAAGAAUAUUUAUAGCUAACUUUGAAUUUGUAACCUCAGCUCUGGGAGAGGAUUUUUUCUGAACCAUUAUUAUCUAAAAUGUGUUGUUGCUUUAGGGUCACAGCAUGCUUGUGUAUGUCUGUUACCAUGUCACUGUGGUCUUAUGCCAAGUGCCCUUAGGGGACUUGAAUCCUUCCGAUAGACCAUGUUUGAGAUAGUUGAGUCACUGUGCAGUGUAGCCCACACUUGAGGGGAUGAAUGUGUGUGCACUGUGCACUGUCAUUUUGCUCUGAGUCGAAGUAGGUUCUUGUUUACUUGUUUUCUCUGUGCUUGUUCCUACAGCCCCUUUUUCUUAUGUUGCUCAAUCUCCCUUUUCCUUCUUGGUGCUUACACGUCUCAGACCCUUUAGCCAAACCCUUGCCAAUAACAGUAUUUUGGUUCUUGGUUCUCACUGUUCCCUCUGGUCAUAGAGCCUUUGAAUAAAAAUGCGCGUAGCUAUGGAAUGGAGUUUUGCUGGAAAAGGUGACCUUCCAACUUCUUGUCUACUUCUGGCUCCUCAAACAGUAGGUUGACAGUAAGGCAGGGAAGUUGUUUUCCCAUUUCUCACUGAGCAGAUUGUGAGUAUUUCCAUAUGGAUUUUCUAUUAUUAAUGUUACUCUGAUUCUUUGUUUUAAAAUACAAAUUCUGAAUGUAAAAAAAGAGACUUAAAAAGCACAGGCAACAAAAGCAAAAAUAAAUGAGAUUAUAUCAAGCUAAAAAGUUUCUGCACAGCGAUGGAAACAACAGAGUAAAAAGAACCUACUGAAUGGGAGAAAAUAUCUGUAAAGCAUUCAUCCAACAGGGGUUAAUAUAUAUCUAGAAUAUACAAGGAAUUCAAACAUCUUAACAGCAAAAAUUUAAAAAAAUCCAAUUAAUAAAUGAGUAAAUGAUCCAAAGAGAUAUUUCUCAAAAGAAGACACACAAAUAGUCAGCAAAUAUGUGAAAAAAAUACUCAACAUUACUAAUUAUCUAGCAAAUGCAAAUUAAAACCACAAUGAAGUAUCAUUUCACCCAGGUUAGGAAGGCCAUUAUCAAAAAGACAAAAAAUAGCAGAUGUUGAUGAGGAUGUGGAAAAAAAGGAACUCUUGUAUACUAUUGGUGAGACCGUAAACUAAUACAGCUGCUGUGGAAAAUAAUAUGGAGGUUCCUCAAAAAACUACAAAUCGAACCACCGUAUAGUCCAGCAAUUUCACUGUGGGGCAUUUAUCCAAAGGAAAGAGAAGCCAUUAUAUCAGAGAGAUCUAUACCCCCAUAUUGAUUGCAGCACUGUUCACAAUAGCCAAUGUAUCAACCUAGGUGCCUAUCAACAGAUGAAUAAAGAAAAUGUAGAAUAUAUACACACUGCACAGUACUAUCCAGCCAUAAAAAAAAAUAAUGAAAUCCUGUUAUUUGCAGCAACAUGGUUAGAAUUGGAGGAUAUUACAUUAAGUGGAAUAAGCCAGGAACAGAAAGUUAAACACUGCAUAUGCUUAUAUGUGAAAGCUUAAAAAAAAUUGUAGAUCUCAUGGAAGUAAAAAGUGGAACAGAGGAUACUAAAGGCUGAGAAGAAUAUGGGGAGGGAGAGAUAGGGAGAGAUUUGUUAAAUGAUACAAAAUUACCGGUAGAUAAGUGGAAUAAGUUCUAAUGUCCUAUAGCACUAUGGGAUGAUUGUACUUUCCAAUGAAAUGUUGUAUAUUUUGAAAUACCUAGAAGGAGGAUAUUGAAUGUUCCCAACACAAAAAAAAUGAUAAACGCUUGAGAUGAUGGAUAUGCUGAUUACUGUCAUCUGAUCAUUAUGCAUUAUAUAUAUUGCUAUAUCACUAUGUACCCAUAUAUCACUGUGUACACACCAUGUACAAUUAUUAUGGGCUAAUUUAAAAAAUUUGUUUUAAAGAAAAAGAUCAGUGACCCCAUCUGGGCCUGCUCUUUACUGUUCGGGAAGGUUAUUAAUUGUUGAUUGCAUGUCAGUUACUGAAUAUAGGCCUAUUCAGAUCAUCUCUUUUAUUAUAUAGGAGCUUUGGCAAAGUGUGUUUCAAAGAAUUGGUCUGUUUUAUCUAGGUUGCCAAAUUUUGGGCAUAGAGUUUUCCUUGAUUAUCCUUUUACCGUCCAUGUGAUCUGUAGUGAUCACUCAUUCAUUUCUAAUACUAGUAAUUUGUGCCUUCUCUCUUCUUUUUUUUUUCCUUAGUUAACCUGGCUAGAGGCGUGUUGGUUUUAUUGAUCUUUUCAGAGAAUCAGCUUUGGUUUCAUUGAUUUUCCUCUGUUGACUUCCUGUUUUCAAUUUCAUAGAUUUCUGCUCUAAAUUUUAUUACUUAUUUUCUUCUGCAAGCUUUGGAUUUAUUUUGCUCUUCUAUUUUUAGUUUCCUGAGGUGGAAAUUUAGUUAAUGAUUUUAGAUCUUUCUUCUUUUCUAAUAUUUGCAUUUAAUACUAUAAAUUUCUCUCAAAGCAUGGACUCACAUUGUGUUAAGUUGUAUUUUAAUUUUUCAUUUAGUUCAAAAUACUUUUUAACUUCUUUGACUACCCAUGUAUUAUGUAGAAGUGUACUGUUUAAUCUCCAUGUAUUUGGGAAUUUCCCAGCUAUCUUUUGGUUACUGUUUUCUAGUUUAAUUUCAUUGUGGUAUGAAAACAGAUAUCGUGUGAUUUCCAUUCUUUUAAAUUUGUUAAGGUAUGUUUUAUGGCCCAUAAUGUGGUCUGUCUUGGUGAUUGUUACCUGUGAGCUUGAGAAGGAUGUACAUUCUGCUGUUGUUGGAUAAAGUAAUCAACAGCUGACCAUUAUAUCCAGUUGAUUAAUGGCAUUGUUGAAUUCAGCUAUGUUCUUACUGAUUUUCUGCCUGCUGGAUCUGUCCAUUUCUGAUAGAUGGAUGUUGCAGUUUCUAACUGUAAUAGUGGAUUUAUCUGUUUCUCCUUGAUGUUAUAUCAGUUUUUCCCUCACAUAUUGUGAUGCUCUUUUGUUAGGCACAUACACAUUAAGGAUUGUUACAGUUUUUUGGAGAAUUGACCCCUUUAUUGUUACGUAAGGCCUAAUAACUUUGCUUACCUUGAAACCUGCUCUUUCUGAAAUUAAUAUAGCUACUUGUGUAUUGCUGCUUGUCUUUUCAUUAGUAUUAGUGUCAUAUAUAUUCCUUCAUUUGUUUUUUAUUCUAUUUAUAUCUUUAUGUUAAAGUGGAUUUAUUAUAGACAAUGUAUGUGGGUCUUGUUUUUUGAUCCAUUCUGGCCAUCUCUGUCCCUUACUUGGUGUAUGUAGACCAUUGACAUUUAAAAUAUGUUUAUGUCAUACUAAUAUGUUACAAUAACAUCUACCAUGUUUGUUGUAGUUUUCUAGUUUCCCCUUUUUCUUUAUUCCUAUUUUUGUCUUCUGUUCUUUUUCUACCUCUAGUGGUUUUAAUUGACCAUUUUAUAUAAUUUCAUUUUCUUUCCUUUUUUAGCAUAUCUGUUAUACUUUUUUUAACUAUACUUUUAACUUUAGUUGCUGUCCUAGAGUUUGCAGCAUACUUUUACAACUAAUCCAGGUCCACAUUCAAAGAAUACUAUACUGCUUCAUGGGUAGCACAAGUACCUUGUAAUAACAAAAUACUUUUAAUUCUUUUCUUCUAUCCCUUGCAUCAUUGCUGUCAUUAAUUUCCCUAAUAUAGAGGACAUGCGCGUGUGCUUGUAAACAUAUAUAAAAGUAUGCAUAUAUAAAAACAUAUAUAAUUGAACACACUUGCUGUUAUUAGAACUGUUAUCAGAUCAAAUAAGAGUAAGAAAAAUAAAAGUUUUUAUUUAGCUUCACUUAUUGAUGGAUACUUGAGUUGAUUAUACUUUCUUUUUGGCUAUUACAAAUAAUGUUGCUGUGAGCAUUCAUAUGCAGUUUUUUCUGAGAACAUGUAAUUCAAAUUAUUCAAAUGAUUUUCUCUUCUCUUGGUUGUAUUCCUAGGACUAGAAUUCCUAGAUCAUUUGGUAAUUCUAUGAUUACAUUUUCAGAACCUACCAAACUCUUUUUAAUGUGGCUAUGCCAUUUUACAAUCCUACCAGCAAUGUAUUAGGGUUUCAGUUUCUCCUUAUGCUAGCCAACACUUGUUAUUGUUUGUCUUUUUUAUUUUAGUCAUCCUAGUGGUUAUAAGAUGGUAUCUCACUGUGAUUUUAUUCCCCGAAAGACUAAUGGGGUUUUCAGGUGUUUAUUAGGCAUUUGUAUAGCUUCUUUGGAGAAAUAUCUACUUAGAUCCUCUGCCUAUUUUUAGUAGACUUGUGUUUUUAUUGCAUUGUCAGCGUUCUUUAUAUAUAAAGAGACUAGACUUUUAUCAGAAAUAUUAUUUGCAAAUAUAUUCUCCUAUUCUGUGGGGAUUUCACUUUUCUUUGUAGUAUCCUUUGCAGCACAAAGGCUUUUAAUUUUGGUAAAGUUCAGGUUAUCUAUUUUUUUGUUUGUUUGUUUUGUGCUUUAGGUGUUAUAUCUAAGGAAGUUGUCUAAUGCAGUGUGACAAAGAUUUACACCUUUGUUUUCUCCUAAUAGUUUUGUAGUUUUAGCUCUUACAUUUUAGUAUAUGAUUCAUUUUGAGUUGGUUUUUGUACAGAUGCUCUUUGAUUUACAAUGAGAUUACAGUUUCUAAUGAAUAUAUAUUGCAUUCGCACCAUCAUAAUGUUGAAAAUCUUAAAUUGAACUAUUGUAAGUCAGGACCAUCUUUUUAUGGUGUACGAAAAGGCCCAACUUUAUUCUUUUUGCAUGUGGUUUUCCAGUUGUCCCAGAACUAUUUACUAUCAGACUAUUCUUUCUGCAUUGGAUUGUCUUGGCCCCCAUGAAGAAAAUCAGGUGAUCAUGAACAUAAAGGUUUAUUUCUGGACUCUUAGUUCUGUUACACUGAUGCACAUGUCCCUUUUUAAGUCAAUACCAUACUGUCUUUUGUAGUAAGUUUUGAAAUCAGAAAGUGUGGAUCUUUCACCUAUAUUCUUAUUUAAGAUUGUGUUGACUAUUUAGGUCCUUUACAUUUCCACAUAAAUUUUGAGAUUAGCUUGUCAGUUUCUGG